CAGUCGCCGCGGUAAUACGAAGGGUGCAAGCGUUAAUCGGAAUUACUGGGCGUAAAGCGUGCGCAGGCGGUUUGUUAAGACAGAUGUGAAAUCCCCGGGCUUAACCUGGGAACUGCAUUUGUGACUGGCCGGCUAGAGUAUGGCAGAGGGAGGUGGAAUUCCACGUGUAGCAGUGAAAUGCGUAGAUAUGUGGAGGAACACCGAUGGCGAAGGCAGCCUCCUGGGCCAAUACUGACGCUCAUGCACGAAAGCGUGGGGAGCAAACAGGAUUAGAUACCCGAGUAGUCCCUGUCUCUUAUAC
rnacentral:rRNA from 1 species